UGGUGGAGUGAUUUGUCUGGUUAAUUCCGUUAACGAACGAGACCUUAGCCUACUAAAUAGUUGCUCCAAUCAUGAUUGGAUCAACUUCUUAGAGGGACUUUGUAAGCAAAUACUAGGAAGUUUGAGGCAAUAACA
rnacentral:rRNA from 1 species